AGCGAACGCUGGCGGCAGGCUUAACACAUGCAAGUCGAGCGGGCCUUUCGGGGUCAGCGGCGGACGGGUGAGUAACGCGUGGGAACGUGCCUUCUGGUUCGGAAUAACCCUGGGAAACUAGGGCUAAUACCGGAUACGCCCUUAUGGGGAAAGGUUUACUGCCGGAAGAUCGGCCCGCGUCUGAUUAGCUAGUUGGUGGGGUAACGGCCUACCAAGGCGACGAUCAGUAGCUGGUCUGAGAGGAUGAUCAGCCACACUGGGACUGAGACACGGCCCAGACUCCUACGGGAGGCAGCAGUGGGGAAUAUUGGACAAUGGGCGCAAGCCUGAUCCAGCCAUGCCGCGUGAGUGAUGAAGGCCUUAGGGUUGUAAAGCUCUUUUAUCCGGGACGAUAAUGACGGUACCGGAGGAAUAAGCCCCGGCUAACUUCGUGCCAGCAGCCGCGGUAAUACGAAGGGGGCUAGCGUUGCUCGGAAUCACUGGGCGUAAAGGGCGCGUAGGCGGCGUUUUAAGUCGGGGGUGAAAGCCUGUGGCUCAACCACAGAAUGGCCUUCGAUACUGGGACGCUUGAGUAUGGUAGAGGUUGGUGGAACCGCGAGUGUAGAGGUGAAAUUCGUAGAUAUUCGCAAGAACACCGGUGGCGAAGGCGGCCAACUGGACCAUUACUGACGCUGAGGCGCGAAAGCGUGGGGAGCAAACAGG
rnacentral:rRNA from 1 species